UUUUUUUUUUGUCACCUGCUUUCUUUAUUUCUUCAUUCUCAGAUGUAACACUAUUCAACACUACUUAAAAUUCAGAGCAUUAAUUUUUCUCUAAAGCAACUUUUAAUAUUAUCAAUUUCUUUUACGUUAAAUCAUUUAGGAUUUUGGUAGUAUUUUCUCUUAUUUCUCAAGCUUUUCUUGCACAUGCCGAUUUUCCUUUCCCCAUGACAAUAACAUUUAUUUUGUCUGUACUUUCCAUGUUGCGGUGGUAGAUGUUUCCCAGAGGAGAGAAAAUAAAAAGAAAGACUCCUUUGCAGAAAAUUGCUCAAAUAAGGUAUAGAGGAAGAAAAAAAAAUAAAUCCAAGACACCAGCCAAAGAAGAUGGGAUCUACAGGAAAAUGAUGAAGAAUACUAGAUACUUCCCAAGAGGAAAUAAGCUAACACCAAAACCAGGAAAGCCACAAGAGAAAGCUGUACAGCAACUCUGUUUCAUUUCUAAGGCUGGUGGAAACAUUUACACCCGGUGA
rnacentral:lncRNA from 1 species